AUCUUUCUUCCCUAUUUGCUCCGAUCUGUGUUAACCACACGCUUUCAAUUGCUUGUGGCCGGCUCAUUCUGCAACUCCUCCGGCGACCAUCGGAAUUCGGAAGUUUUUACCUCUUUUUCCGGAUCAAAAGAAAUGGAGUUCUUCUUCAGAACACAGACUGAGGAGACAUCUGAUUGCUCCUUCAAUGGCCAGGAUAUUCAAAGAUGCCCGUUCUUGAGUAACAUCAACAAGCCAACAAACUUUUCUUUCUUUUCUGCUCUGAACUUUCCCAGCCCUGUGAAGGGAGGUAAAGGUCCAAUUUUUGAAGAUGGCCCCAACUUCGAUAUGGCAUUUAAAGUCUUCCAUGGAAAAGAUGGGGUUGUCCCACUUUCUGGAAGGUCUCAAUUUUUCAAUGACAACAUUGAAGUAGAGUCUGCCCCUCAAUUUAAUCCUUUAGCUGCAAAAGCUGCCACCAUAAGUUUGUCUUCAUUCGGAGCAGGAGGUCCUUUUAGCUUUGAUUCUUUCUCUCGGAAAUGGAAUUCACAGAAGAAGAAGCCGGAGUCAUCCAAAAAGAAAAAGCCUUCUUCUCAGGACAAAUCUUCUAAGCACGAGGCAAUGGGAAAUGAGUGGUUGGAGUCAGGCAACUGUCCUAUCGCCAAAUCUUAUAGAGCUGUUAGCGGUGUUCUCCCACUUGUGGCCUCAGCUUUUCAGCUGCCUCCCGGUAUGAAGCUCAAAUGCCCGCCUGCAGUUGUUGCAGCCAGGGCUGCCCUCGCCAGGACUGCUUUUGUGAAGACUGUGCGGCCGCAACCACUAUCUUCAAAGAUGCUUGUUAUUGGAGCUUUGGGCAUGGCAGCUAAUAUUCCACUAGGCAUAUGGAGAGAGCACACUGAGAAGUUCUCACUUUCAUGGUUUACUGCAGUCCAUGCUGCUGUUCCCUUCAUAGCUAUGCUGAGGAAGUCAGUUGUGAUGCCCAAAACAGCUAUGGCAUUAACCAUUGCUGCUUCUAUCUUGGGACAGGUCAUUGGCUCAAGAGCAGAGAGACUUCGAAUGAAAGCAAAAGCCGAGAGUGUUAAAUUGGUAGCGCAGACUGGCUCAGAUGGGGUUAUUGCACAGAGUAGCACAGAGGGUGUUAUUGCAGGUCUCAACUCAAUCCAGGUCAGUGGUAUGCCCGGGGUUCAUUGUGGCACACAGGGUAUGCUAAAAGACCAACCCUCGAAAGAAUCUGCCAAUACUAUAUCUCCAUCUGCCAGUCUCUGUUUCUAAACAUUUUUAGAACUGGUAAGUAAGCAGUUGAUCUAUAAUGCUGCUAAUAAGAGAGUGUGCCCCUUGCCAGAGAGAGCAGGAGAUUUAAAAGUAAUAUGCAUUAUUAUAUGUUUAGUGUUUGUAUCAAAUUCAUGUAAAGGACAAAUAUUUCCAUGACCUAUAUGGUCUUGACUCUUGAGUGUUGCAUAAUCCUGAAAUACAAUGUACUAUUGGAUAGAACCUCUAUCAAUAAUAUACCAACCCAUCAUGUUUCCA
rnacentral:misc_RNA from 1 species